ACUCCUACGGGAGGCAGCAGUGGGGAAUAUUGCACAAUGGGCGCAAGCCUGAUCCAGCCAUGCCGCGUGAGUGAUGAAGGCCCUAGGGUUGUAAAGCUCUUUCACCGGUGAAGAUAAUGAUGGUAACCGGAGAAGAAGCCCAGGCCUGAAACUUCGUGCCAGCAGCCGCGGUAAUACGAAGGGGGCUAGCGUUGUUCGGAUUUACUGGGCGUAAAGCGCACGUAGGCGGACUUUUAAGUCAGGGGUGAAAUCCCGGGGCUCAACCCCGGAACUGCCUUUGAUACUGGAAGUCUUGAGUAUGGUAGAGGUGAGUGGAAUUCCGAGUGUAGAGGUGAAAUUCGUAGAUAUUCGGAGGAACACCAGUGGCGAAGGCGGCUCACUGGACCAUUACUGACGCUGAGGUGCGAAAGCGUGGGGAGCAAACAGGAUUAGAUA
rnacentral:rRNA from 1 species